AAAAAAAAAAAAGAAAAAAAAGGCACAAAUCGACAAUGCCAACCAACUUUAGAAAAUAUGGAUAACAAACGAUUCUACAACAAGAGAAUCAAACAUCUGAAUGUAAUUUAAAAUGCAGUCUGAUACUUUACAUAUACAUUAUAUAUAACAAACUAUCAAUAUUUGGAGCAGCCAUUUUACUUAUACAGCAGACAACAUCUAAGGUAGCUUUGGUCAUUACUACAUUAGAAAUAGCAGUGCUGAUAACGUAUGUAAAACGUUGAUUGGUAUAUCACAAGUUAUAAGUGUCGCACACAGCCCUUCAAAAGGUGCUCUAUUAGAAAAAUAAGAUGGCUGCUGUCCAUCCACGUUCAUUCUUUAAUAUCUGGCAUAUUGAAAUGAAUAUUGCCAUCAAGAACAUUAGGUAAAAUAUCUAUAUUAAAACUAUGGUCAAUAUGAGGCACAUUGGCCUGACUUAUAUUUCGGCUAUAAUGACAGAGCGAUUGUUCCUAGGAGAUUGAUAAAAUUGACAAUUUGGUUGUACCAAGACAUUCCCCAGGCGCGACACCUGUUCACAGAAGAAAAGAUCAAAUCCUUGACUAAGAUGCUUAAUGUAGACACCCCUAACUUCAAGCAAUGCUUCAGAUAUAAACAGCUGACAGAAUUCAUCGCCUCUGUUCCACAGAGACCCCUUCUAUCGAGGGACCUUAGCCCAAUGGAGGCGAUCUGUACAGACACUGAUCCCCUGGAACAUUGGAUAUCAACUAUAUAUAAUAUGAUCCUUACACAGCAGAGACCACCACACUUUAUGUGGAAAUGGGAGGAGGCCUUGGGUGAAACACUUACUACCACACAGUGGCACAAAAUCUGUGAUCUCACGCAACACUGCACAGUAUCCAGUAAAACAUAGGGGACUGCGGACAAAUUGCUAACUUAUUGGUAUAGGACUCCCCAGUCAGUGCAUGCAAUGAUACCAGCCAUAGAUGAGAGAUGUUGGAGGUGUGGAGAAGAGGUGAGAGUAUCAUCCAAAGAUUUUCAGAUGACCCGCACCCUUAGAGAUGUGAGAGACGGGACACAAUGCUAUGAUGCAGCCCCCUUUUCA